rnacentral:lncRNA from 1 species
CUUUCUUCCACAAAGGGUGCAAGGCUUCAGUCAUGAAAGAUAUGUAAGCUCUAUAGAUCUAGUGUGCAACGUAGGGCAUAUGAUUAAAAUACUCCAUACUUAAAAAUGUACUAAGAGGGUCACAGAGCUUCAAACACAUCGGGUUGUAUACACUACAUUUCUACCGCUUUUGUAUGUCAAUCAUAUCUCAAUAAAGUGGUUAAAAACAAAGAAACAAAACUAUGAAAUGGAUAAUAUUGAUUAUUUCAGAAGUGUUACUGGGAAGAUUGAACAAAAUUACGUGUACAGAGUUUGGCAUAGGAUAAGUCCUCAACAAUUUAAGGUUCCUGGCUUCAGCCUUUCAGAAUGUCUGCUCUUGACAAGGUGGAGCUUCUCAUGCCAGGGAUUGCGAGGGUCAGGGAGGUGGCAGGUGUGUGGCGAGGGGUGUAUGUCUCCAUGAAAGGAACCAACUCCAAGCAGAAGUGGAUGUUGACAUCCAGGAGCUUGGGUUUCUCUGAUUGUUGACUUUUUUCAUGAUCAACCCAGGGUCCACGUGAUUUUUUAGAGUUUUUCAGCUCCACAUGCAUCUACCCUGUCAUUGCCCAUGACAGACUUAAAAGGUUGGAUUUUUUCUCUGCAAACACAAUGCCCUUUGCUUGUGUUUUCUGAACUUUGCUUUUGUUGGUUUCUCUCCCCAUCUCUCAGCUACCAAGGCCAUUUUGAA